rnacentral:rRNA from 1 species
CGGGUGAGUAAUGUAUGGGGAUCUGCCUGAUGGGGGGGGAUAACUACUGGAAACGGUAGCUAAUACCGCAUAACGUCGCAAGACCAAAGAGGGGGACCUUCGGGCCUCUUGCCAUCGGAUGUGCCCAGAUGGGAUUAGCUAGUAGGUGAGGUAACGGCUUACCUAGGCGACGAUCCCUAGCUGGUCUGAGAGGAUGAUCAGCCACACUGGGACUGAGACACGGCCCAG